AUACGUAGGGUGCGAGCGUUAAUCGGAAUUACUGGGCGUAAAGCGUGCGCAGGUGGUUUUGUAAGUCAGAUGUGAAAUCCCCGGGCUUAACCUGGGAACUGCGUUUGAAACUGCAAGGCUAGAGUGUGGCAGAGGGGGGUGGAAUUCCGCGUGUAGCAGUGAAAUGCGUAGAUAUGUGGAGGAACACCGAUGGCGAAGGCAGCCCCCUGGGUCAACACUGACGCUCAGGCACGAAAGCAUGGGGAGCAAACAGGAUUAGAUACCCUGGUAGUCC
rnacentral:rRNA from 1 species